AAAGAGGGAGGUAAUGCGAGACCCUUAUCAUAUAUGUCCGCGUUUAGGGAUUGUUUGACUGAUUGUUCGCUAGAAGACCUUGGUUAUAUUGGCAACAAAUUCACUUGGAAGAGGGGGAGAAUCAGAGAGAGACUGGAUAGAGCUGUGGGGAACAUGGCAUGGGCUGGUAUGUUUCCUGAUGCAGCUGUGCACCACCUUACUAUGGGUGGUUCGGAUCACAGGCCGAUUAUGAUCGACACAUCUACGUAU
rnacentral:rRNA from 1 species